GGUUAGCACGCAGGCUGUGCCUGGUGCCCAGAAAUUCUGCUUUAGUGGACCUGGGGUGGAGACUGUGAGCCUGCAUUUAGCAAACCCUUCGGAGGAUUUUGGUCCUGGACACCCGGGGAUUACACUAUAAGAAACACUGGUCUAGUCCAACCCUGUCACGAGGAAGUGAUGGUGGAGGACGGGAGGACCAGCCGUAGAGCACAUCGGUGGCCGAGGCUGCGCUGGAAUCCAGGUCCUGGGUUCCCGGUUCUCUGUUCCUUCGGCUUGCCACGCUAUUCCUGGCCAAGCUCAGUUCCAGAAGAAGGUGCGUUAGGAGCCGGGCAGAGCAUCUCCGAGGAUGGAAUGUCAAUGGAAUGGUCGCUCAGAGCCUUCCAGAGCUCCCUAGGUCAAAGGUCACCAUCAAAGGAUCCAAGCCUCAACUGUGAGUCAACGUGACCCCUCUCAUUAAGCCAAAAUACAGAUUCUUCUCGAUAUGAACUUUGUUUGUUUAUUUGUUCCAGCUGGAGGUUGGGCCUAAGUAUGUAAAUGACUCUAAUCUGCUGAUGGAUGAAUCGAGAGUCUCUUCACCAGGAGGAGGACGUGUCUCCCUGGGGAGGGGACCAGAGGCAGGGGCAGGCCAGAGGUGGGCUCCCAGAAUGACAGAGGGGAUGACAGGAAUGUGGACCACAGAGAGUGCCCUCGACUCACCGCAAACAUCGCCCCUGCUGUGUCCUGGCAGGAGUCACCCCAGCACAGGGACCUCACGCCUUAUUUGCCCUCCUGCCUGCCUUGUCCGUGAGGACCCUUGCAUGCGGCGUCCCUGUGACACGGGGUUCUUGGUUCUUGUCUCACGGAGUCGAAGAAUGAAUCUCGUGGACAGCAGAGAGUGGGCAAAGCCACAGAAGUUUUUCAAGCAGAGAUACGGAGAAAGCUGUCAGCAGCGAGGGGGGCCCGGCAGGGUGGCCCCUGAAGGGCUUUUAUGGUCUUUUAUAGGAAGCUGACCAGGGAACUUGGCAAAUUUCUUGCCAAUUAUCAGGGUGGACUUUUAGAACAAACAGAGUGGACUUGUAACCAUCAGAAUAACAAACAAGUUUUUAAAUAAAUAUCCCCAAACAAGGGGUUCCCUUCUCUCUG